UUUAAAUAAAAUAAACAUGUAUAUGCAACACAAAAUAUUUAUAUUCCUUGUGUAAACAUAAUUUAAUUGAUUAGGAUGAAAAUGUUUUGUUUGAAUGUAAAAUGAACACAUUAUUCUCACAUUGAUUAAAAUUGAUUGAAUUGAAUACUUAAAGCAAUAAAAUUGAGUUUGCACACAAAAUGCCACCUCCUGAGCAGAAGGUGGCAGUAACGCUCAAUAAAAAGGACGUCAAUCGCCAUAAAAGAAGAAUAAACAUCGUUUGUUUUGGGCGCCAAAAUGAAGACUCAGCAGCAGUCAGUCAGAAGAACUCUCUCAGACGGACACCACGUUAUUAAAGUCCAUCAUCCUUGCAUGCGCUACACACUCAAAAGCAUUGAUAAAUGCUGAAUUUAAAAGAAUCACUACUGUCUUAUGUUCCUGCGUGUCACCUGGACCUCCAAUCCAAAAACCUGACGAAACUCUUCUAUAAGAAAGGAGGACAGCUAGCAAACAGACUUCAAACAAUGAAUGAUCAAAUGACAGAAGGCAUGAAUGAAGUCAGCAUCAGUGUGGUCAUUUGAAGACACCACUGUUGGGAUUUGUGCUCUCAAACAACAUGCUUCUUGUGAUGAAGAAGAGGAUCUUUGUAUAGUCCUGGAAGGCAUGAAGGUGUUGCAACAUCGUGCCAUGUUGUUUGAGCUGAUGUAUGCCUUAAACCUGAGCUAUCCUGAUCUCUGCUUUAUUUUUGAAGAAAUCCAAAAGAUUUUAAUGAAACUGCAUUGAGCGUAACUUUAACGAACAGUUUCUUUCAGUGAAAGGAUCAGAAAGACUGUGCUGCUCAUUUAUGUUCUUUUUAUUUAUCUGUUUUAAGUGUUUUUUCUUAUUAAAACAUUAACCGUUUGCUGCUCAGAGUUGAUUUUGGAAAUGGUUGUCGUAUUUUGUUUUUGUUGAAUCUUUGAUUAUCAGUUUAUACAAAUGCUGUAGCUCUGACUUUCUGAAGGAUUGAUAUUUUCCAGUUUGUAAAUCCAUUUAAAAAAUAAUAGUACUUACUGUUUUGCAUGUCUCUUUGGAAUGCAGUGUUUGUGCUUUAGCUCUUCUAAAUCUACUGUGAUAGUAACUAUUUUAAACAUUUGGGUCAGUUUUACAGAUGGGGCUUUUUCUAGUCCCAGACUUUUGCAAUGCCUUAAUUUGAAAACAUAUUGCACUGACAUAUCUUGACAUAUAUCAGUGCCAUUGUUUUGUCUCAAGAUGUACUCCAGUGUUGUUUUUGUAAGGUAGGUUUGUUUGUAAACUUUUUUUGUAAAAAAUAUCCUAAUAUAACUAGGGCCUAGUCAUGGAUUAAUCUACAACCUGUCUGGGAAAUUGCCCCUUUGUAUGUACUGCAUGUGCUGAUUGUUGUAAUAGUUAUUGACUGUUGUUGAAUUAAUGUGUAGUGAUUUAAAUGAAUUGAUGAUCUGAAAGCAGUGGUUUGCCUCAAUAUCACUAAACUUUAGUUUAAAACUCUUUGCUUUUUAUGCCAAUGCAAAUGUAUUUUGUAUUUAAAAAAGAAAUAAAUAACAUUUGGAUAAUUAUGGAUGAUUAUUCUGGUUCCAGAAACAUAAUGAAAUUGCUUUAGAGUUACAUAAUCCCAUAAUAUAAGCAUUAAAAAAGCAUGUUGGAAUUACAGAUGAAAAUCUAGUCCCCUUACAUAAUAAAAUUACUUAAACAUUACAAAAUAAAUGUGUUAUAGUAAAGAGAAAUAGCACUUUGAGUCAACAUAUUUAUAUUAGACUACUUGAAACAAUUAAAAUGUUUUGGUCUGACACAUAAAAAUUAAAUGAGGAAAAUUAUGUUGGUUUAACACAAUCGGA